AGUGGGGGGGUCUCCUACAGGGAGCAGUGGGGUUCUGCACUUAGGCUUCCAUCCAAGGGCAUCGAGUACAAUCCUUUUUUUGUCCCACGGUGGACGCAGCGAGGCGCCGUCAUUUCUUGGCUACGUGUAGAGGAGGAACGCUUUUAUUGCCAGAGAAGCUCAUAAAAGUGAGCGCUGGGGGGGAAUCGCUUAUUUUUUCUCCCCUUCAUCUUAAGAGCCACGAUGGCUAUCCGAAAUUGACCAAGCGCAGUAACUCUGUCCGCACGUUGACACUGACCAAAAACAAAAGCACAAAUUGGCUAAACUCGAUUUCAUUCACAAUAAUUGAAGUGGCUUUUGUUUGGAGGUAGGGGGGAGGGGACGUUUUCCCAAUUUCUUGCCUCAUAAUUUGCUCCAAUUUUUAACGGCCACUUUGGUAAGCAAAUUCAUUCGCUCAGCCAAUAAAGGCCUCCAAAUAGAUGCAGUAAUCUCUCGAUUUGCUGCUCUUCACUUUUCUAUUGCGCAUUAUUUGCUGGAACGCAGCAUACUUUUCCACACAGCCAGUGACUGCAGGAGACUUUUGUCGCAUAUAGCACCACCUCCACCAAGUGCAAAAUCAUCCCACAUUUAACAAAAGCAGAAAAUAAUAAAAUAAAAAUAGAAGCAAAGCCCCCUUUUCCUGUCUGUUGUCCGCUUUUUGGCAUCUGUCCCUGCCUGAGUUUUAAUAUGAUGACAGUCCCCAUUUACAAGGCUCAGGUAGCAGCCCAGCGCUGCGGGAGAAGCGAUUUACGAUCUUAGCGGGGGUGGAAUUAAAAACAAACAUAAAACACCGGUAAUUAGGAAGCAGGUGGAUCCCCCAAGAUGACUGAUGGAUAAAUCACGCGGUCUUAUGAUUGCGGGAGGCGGCGGGGACAUGCAUUUGCAUGCGUAAGCUUCUACGGCAGAGGUGUCAAACUCAUUUUUCUCGCGGGCCGCAUCGUAGUCAUAGUUUCCCUCGGAGGGCCAUUAUGAUUGUCAACAUCUUCUAUAUUUAGUAUAGGCUACAAAAAAACUGAUGAAGAACUAGUUUUGAAAUCAGAGAGUAAUACAAACUGUUCAAAUAUUCUAUAAAGACAAAUGAUAAUAAAAAUAGCAAGCGAUACCUAUUUUUUUUAAAAGUGAAGACAAUUUGUAAUUAUGGUUAUGAUACAAAGUCGAUGCAAAAUUUGUCUCACGAGCCACAUAAAAUGAUGUGGCGGGCCGCAUCUGGCCCUCGGGCCUUGAGUUUGACGCCUAUGCUCAACAGGCUCUCAGGGGGCUCGCUGAGAGCAUCACCGUUUGUUCCACUGCAGGUUUGAGCUCGGCGGUUUCGUUUUCAGCUGGGAUGACAUGCUUCAACUUGUUCGACUUGUCAUGCACAUAGCACCUAGAAGAGAACUUUGAGGUUUCAUUUCCAAACUGGACUUGUAGCAAAAAUCUAAUCCUUCCAGCCGCCUAUCCGCAGCCUCAUUGGAAAUCCUCCCCAGUGUGCAGCCACUGAAUCAAGCAGGGACUUCGUGUCCUUUCCGUUGUUGGCAUCAUUUUCAACCCAUAAACCAAAGCAAACCUAAAACAAAACAUACAGCUAGCUUAAUGCUCUCAUACAAUGCAAAACGCCAUAAACUGGUGGCAUCAGUAAUGCUUUUAAAGAUGUUGCGUUGUAGUUGUGAAAUUCUUCUUUGUUGGUGUACUGCCCCCGGUGGCCAAGCCAGGUACGCCGGAAAGAAUUGAAACCAAAACAUUUCUUUUUCUGUUUUACACUUUUUGUGAGGUCAUCCAAACAAUCAGUCCUUAACAACAAAUCUUCCUACUCGCACAUUUUCUGGCAAUCCGCUCAACUGAGUGACAUUCCAAUUUGCAUCUGCAUCACUUGUGCAGUUUGUUUCCCUCUUGGCUCCCUUCUUUUGUCGUCCUUUCACUUGGAUUCCUCGCCGCCGAUUUCCUUCUUCCUUUUGAUCUCGUUGCCUUUCGGCUUUCUGGGCGCAGGAAUGCUGAUGUAUGCAUUUUGAUGGCACACUGCAACAUUCUGGAGGCGGAGGCUUACUUUUCAGCGGGCGCCGUGCACUUAAGGGACCCCCACCGGCCGUCUCCCCCACCCGCCAUCCUUUGCUCCCCCCGUGGAUCACCCACCUGCUGUCUCCUGCCUAACUUUGACUUCUUGCUGUUAUUUGCAGUAAAGCGCAGUUGAGCUCCCUUACAGGCCCUUUGAAUUCCCUCGCUCGCUUCCUCAAUCUCUCGCAUCUUGUUCCUCCUCCACUUUUUUUCCAUCUUCGUUACUCGGCCCUUGAGGCGCUUUGCAUCCCUCCAAUUUAAGAAAGUCGGCAUGCUACCUAAAACUAUAUUCAUUAUCUGGGCUUGGUCUUUAUUUGUCCGUCUGACUGUACAGCAUUAUACUGCCUCCCCGUGGCCAAGACCUGCAAACCAGAAGGAGCAGCACAAUGAAUUCAAUUGCCACAUUAACUGUUUAAUUAUUUACAUUCAAAUUCAUUAUUUUUAAGUACAAGAUGAUAGUGUGAUUCUUUUUUUCUCGAUGAUGAAUGACUACAAAUUUGACUGCCGCAACCAGGCUUUCUCUGGUUUUCUCUGCUCAUACCGCCCUCAGGUGGCCAGGAGGCUCAUGAACAGCAGAAUGAGAAGUGUGGUAAGCACUCUAAUAAGCUCCUAUCUCAAGUCAGUGCCAUAAUUGAUUCAUCUCUAUGUAAACAUGAGAUACAAUUAACCGUCAGGCUGGCUUAUGAUGACAUUUUUAGUGCCCAUUAUUGGAAGUUGUUAUGAGGAAGUUAUGAAAGUAAUAUAGCCUUGAAUUAUUUUGCUGUGUGUGAAUUUCCCACUAAAUUCUCGUGAGAAUGCAUCGAGCUGCCGCAUUAACAUCAUCGCAUGGAGCUGGACUUGAUAACUGCAGGCAAUUUAGCGUGCACGCACGCACGCACACACACGCACGCACGCACGCACGCACACGCACACACACAACUAUUGGGAUUAUGAUGGUUCCAGCAGCUGUCUCCCUCACCUCUGCUUCUGCUUUUUUUUUACCCAUUCUUUCCGUCUGUUCCACCAUCUUUUAUUCAUAUUUUUUUUGUUCCUUUCAACACACGGCCACGUCUCCCGUGUCACUCAGUUUCACGAUUUUCUCUCGCCAUCUCGUCCACUUAUGAAUUUAUCACCAGCUUUCUACUGUCUGUGUCCUUUUGGUCUUGUUCCUUUUGGCCCCGCUCAAUCUUCCGUUGUUCCUCCUUUGUGCCGGUUGUAUGCUAUCAAAUGCCCUUUUGUAUUUUGGGACCAAAACCUUCCGUCCCCUAUUUUUGUGGUCUCUGGAGGCCCAACUGUAGAAGUGACCUAAUUGACAAGAGGCCAGAGAAGAAAUUUGCUCUAAAGCAUUAUCAUUGUAUAUUAUAUAAAAUUAUUAAAUAAUUUUUAAAAAAAUCACCCCAAAUACUUAAAUAUCUGACAAAAUAAACAAAUUUGUGAAUAUAAAAAUUUUAAAAAUACAAAUGAAGUGAAGAUAUUACAUGAAAGAAGAAAAUAAAUAUUAGAAAACAAUGCAAACAUAUUUGUAGGAAAUAAAGAUGGUCGUAAUAUGUUAUUUGCUCCUGGCAAAACACAAAACAAGUUUUGUAUUCUGGACGGUGGCGACCAAGCCGGAAUCAAUCGCAACCUUAAGUGGGCAAGGUGAAAAGGGGGUGGCUGGGGGUGGGGCAGCGUGACGGGACGAGCCCACCUUGAUGCGUGGACACUUUGGUUCUCUGCUGCUUGCCUUCUUAAUGAGGCUUAUUUAGAGGCACCUGCAAACCGACAGGGUGCCGCCUGGGGUGCAAAUCAAAAGUGUGACCAAAAAAGUGGUAUUAGUCUAAACUGGAUGUCGUAAAAGCCAGGAGGGAUCUUUUACAGCCGGCCCGUAAACGACCCGCGUUGCCUCUUGUUUGUCAUUGAGCUCUCUGCCGCUCUCUCCUGCAGCAACUUUCUUUUAUGGGCUGCGUAUUCAUUACGGCACAAUAAAGAGUCGAUUGGAAGGGGGGGGGGCUCCCAGUUAACUCGGGAUCGUGGCCUACUUGCCAAAGCCUCAUAAGGCUCCUUUUGGAUGUGUGAUGUAAGAUUGCACGCUGAUGAUUUAACGCCGCACUGCAGUGGCUGCUCCCAUCAUGGAAAGUUCUUCAUUCAGUUCAAGGCAAGUUUUUGAGUUUUUUUGUGGAGUCUAUUGCCGCUCAUGCAGACAAUAGGGCUAUUUUGUGAAUCUCAAACAUAUCUUGCGUCCAGCUGCUGGUCACACACUGUCAUUUUGGGGCAACUGCUGUCCUGGAAUAAAUGCUGGUUGUAAACUGCGGAUGCAAAUCAUUCCAACAAAAUUGUACUUCUAUCAUUGCAAAGCACCCGCGGCUUCAAGGAUCGUUUCCACGCGGCAGCGUGCUAAUGGACAACUGGACCUGCCGAUUUGCGCCACUGAGCUUUAUUGUGUGACCCUUGGCUCGCUUGCGCUCCUGCCGCGUUGACGGGUUUUUAUCUCCCGGCUUGCGUGAGAUGGCGGCGAGACGACUCCCCGACGACGGAAUGCAGCCAUAGCAAUCUUCUCCUUUGCGCUUUCCGCUUUAACAAUGGCAGAGGGACGCUGGUGAGGAUGCCACUGUCAUGCCUUUGCGCUUCCUCAAAAAUGACUCUUGUCUCAUUGCCAAUUAAAAAAGUUUUUCAACUUGUGACAAUGAAAAGAAAAACAGGCCAAAGUUUGUCCCUUUCCAUUAUUCAUAAUGUAGUCGGCGCAAUAUCAUGCUGGAGGGACUUUUCAAAGGUGCAUCGUGCUGUUUGCGACGUGUCAACUCCUCUCAGCUCAUCUUUACGGCGUUGAUAUUGGUCUUUUUUCCCCAGAAGAUAAAGAAUAUGUGCACUGGUAUAUUAUCUUCCUGAAUGUGUUGCAAGUGUUAGCAUGGCAACAUUGAUGCUAAUUAGUGUUUUCAUAAAUCUAGUGGACUGCAAGGCUAUGCUAUGUGGUUGUUUUAUUGUUUGUUUUAUGGCCUAUUUUGACAGUAGACUUCAACUGAGGGUGGCACCAAACGGCCCAAGGCCUCACUUUUUGUUUUGAAGAAUUGUUGACUCUUGAGUGAUGCCUAUGGUGAAGUGAGAUGUUCACCGCCAUCACUGCCAUCCCACCGCUUGUAUCUCAAAGUAUGCGACGGCAAGUAAAGUAAAAAAGAACUGUGUGCGUGUCUGCAUGCACGCGCACGGGGGUCAACAUUUUAACGCACAUUUAGUGAAGUUAUGUGGAGCUUUUGCAGAGAUUGCGCCAAGACACUCAGUGUGUGUGAUGUGAUCCAAAGAUUAAAGGGCUCCAAUCAGACGUCGCCCAAAGCCGGAGCUCCCACUGCGAUGCUAUCGCUCGCGUCGCCAGAUUGCAGUUAAAAAAAAAAAAGCUUUCCACUCGGCUCGCUGCUGACGGCCGACCGCCAAUGUCUUCUAGAAAACAUUUUUCAAAUUGCUCGCUUUUUCUAAAAAAAAAAAUAAAAAAGUAGCCACAUAUGUUAAGUGAAAUCCAAAGUCCUUUCGACGACGUAUUAGCAAAACCAGCUCUCACUUUUGUUAAGCGGGCUGGUUGGCAUCAGUUGAAUGUAACUAAAUAAUAACUUGUCAUCUAGUAAUCUAGUAAAAAAAAGUAAUCAGCAACUUCUAAAAGUGAAGUCAAGUUUUCAGUGAGGUAAUAGUUCCUCUUUCAAAGUAACUGUGGCAACAUUGACGUCACCGUCGGUCGGAUUCUUGGGCCGAGCAGAACAGCCUGCAGAGUGGUCCUUGAAAGGUGUUUGUGGUUCCAACCAAAAAUGGAGAGAAAGAGGAAAAAGGGACAGUUCAAAGCAGAUGAGGGAUGGUUUUGCCACUGCAUCUUUGGGUGAGGUUUUCCAUUCGAGUGUAUUAAUGUCUUUCAAGGGCCGCGUGUACGUGGGUGCUUUUGUGUGGGGAUUGCGAGCGAGUGAGAUGGCCGUGCAUGAGACUCGCUGUUUGUUGCCCGAUUUAAUUUGGAAACAUUACAGAGAGCUGGUGGUGGGAGUGAAUGCUACCCCCCCCCCCCCCCCCACCCCCACACACAUACACACCACUGCCCCCGGGCUGAGAUGGAGCGAUACCCAAGCAACAGAGGUGCCACAUAAAGAGUGUUAAUUAAAAGCACGCGAGUGAGAAUCAGGUAAGAGAGAUAACAGCUAGUGCAGGGAAAAUAUUUAUCUGCAUUAUUUAUUUAGCACACACACGCAGCACAACGUAUUUGAACCUGAGGUGUUAGCAGUAAAAAGGAUGAGUUUAACCGCGUGGAAGCUGCGUGAAAAGGGAGCAUCGCUCCAGUUGCAGCCGAUGGAAAGGAGGGAUGCAUUCAGGCUGCUUUUUAAUCCCGCUCUUGCUGUUUGGGCGGCUUUUUAUGAAACCUGGGUAUGUGUGUGCGUGCGUGUGAGCAGUGCUGCUUUCAGCUUAGAUAAGGCCAGAAAGAAUGAGAUGGCAGGUGAGAAAAAUGGUGUCCUUUCUUUGUGCGAGCGGAAGUAUAUAGAUAAAAUUGAAAGUCAUUAUACUCCCUCAAGUGGCGUAAUUACUAUGUUGAGGUUUCAGGUUAGCACGUGCGCACGAUGGUUGGAGCGCCACUUGCUUUGUUUCAUGUGCAAAUGUGGCAUGUCGCCCCUCAAGUGACACAAAACACAAAAACAAAUGAACACAACGCAACAGGAGAUGAAAAAGCACAAAAACGGCAAACAGCAGCAUGAUUGACAAGUGCAUCCGCCUGACAGGUUCGAGGUUUGAAUCCCUUGACUUCAGUGGCGGAUGCUAGUCUUUCAAGGAGGGAAUGCUCAAUUGCGGCCUUCUUCAUAAAAUACCUGCUGCUCGGGAGGGACAGAAACUGCGAUAGAAGUCAGAAAGAGUGAUAGAGAUCAGUCUCCAAAUUCAAUCAGCUACGAAAAGAACCCACCAGAAAUAGAAGCUCGAUUUGUUGCUAGUCAUUUUUAACAAAGAAAAUGUUGGUAAGAGGAUUAGAAAAGUCUCCGGUUCAACUCUGAACAGAAUGAAAAUUAAAAAAUGCUUCCACGGAUGUUUACACCGAAAGAUUGCCAAUUUGCUCAUUUCAUUCCAGUCAAUCAAAAAGGGAUUCAGCCUCAGACAGAUCAUCCAAUCAUCAUGCAGAAGUUGAAAGUCCAGGCUGGACGAGGCUAGCCCACUGCCCCAUCGACCCCUAGAGAAGCUGGGUGUCCGAUGGGCAGGACAAAGUCCAGCAUUCAUCCAAUGACUUGUCUCGUUUUGCCCGCCGUCUACACUGUUACCAGUGGUAAGAAGCUGAUUCUGAACUAAUGUAGUGCAUAUUUAGUCAGUGACAUGUACACACAACCAGGCGUCACCAACACGGUGCCCGUGGGCACCAGGUCGCCCGUGAAGACCGCAUGAGUCGCCCGCAGGACUGUUCUAAAAUGAGCUCAAAUAGCGGCCCUUGUCAGUGAGAUGCAUCUAUUUAUUUUACAGUCAAACCUCGGUUUCUGAAUGUCCCGGUUCUCGAACAAAUCGGAAUUUGAACAAAAAAUUCGAGAUUUUUUUGCUUUGGUUGUUGAACAAAAUUCGGAGGUCGAACCUCGCGAGAUGAGCCGGGAGGACCCGAGAAAACCCGACAGCGCGGCCCGGAUGCCGACUGACUCCGUAGUUAUUGUAUUUUCGUUACUUGGAGGAUUGUAUUAACCCCUAAUCAUGCCUCCAAAGGAAGCAAGAGGGAGCAGUAAAGCCAUCCUAAAGCAAUGCGACAGUGAGCGCCCGGCGCGCUGUGGUUGCGCGAUCGGACCAAAUUUAGCUCCCUGCGCACUAAGGUCCACCUAAAUUCUGGAAAGUACAUGAGAACUUUAAAAAUAUUUUCAAAAUUUUAGCGACGGCUCUGUCACAAUAAUACAAUCAGCGCGGUGCAGUUGCGCGUUCGGCGGUGCGCUGCAGUAGCGUGAUCGGACAAAAUUAAGCUCCCUGAGCACUUAGGUCCACUUAAAUUCUGGAAAGUACAUUAGGACUUUAAAAAGAUUUUCUAAAUUUCAGCGACGGCUCUGUCUCAAUAAUGCGACCAGCGUGGUGCAGUUAUACGCAAAUAUGCGUAAAUGAGAAAAUGCUUUAAAAAAAGGCGUUUUUCUUUAGUCUUGGAACGGACUAAAUUUUUUUCUAUUAUUUGUAAUAGGAAAAAUAGAUUCGGAAUUUGACCGAUUCGCUUCUCGAACCGCCUUCUGGAACAGAUUGUGGUCAGAAACCGAGGUUUGACUGUACUUUUGCUAUUCUUGUUAAAAUCACACUUACAUGUGAACUGGAAAUGACAAUAAUAACACUUAGUGAAAGCUAAAUUGAGCAAAUUGGCUAUUUCAGAAGUGUGUGUCAAACUGGUAGCCCUUUGCCUUAAUCAGUACCCAGGAAGUUCAAGUAAUCAAAAAAGAGUCUUCAAGAUGUUUAUUGUCACUCCCAGUUGAAGUUCAAACAAAGUAUAAAAUGUCCUAGAUGCUGGUUGCAUCCUGACAAUUUAGUGAGGCGGAAGAUGAAAAGGCCACAAGGCCGCCAUCGUCGGGAACGGAAGACGGAGUCGCUGCGAGCGCUGAUGAUGAUGCUCGGCGUUAUGAUUGCUCAAAUGAUGAUCAUGAGUGCGACAUUGCUCGCCGGGUUCAAAGGCUUUUGAGAAAGUUCGCCCAAAAUUGAGCGCUCACCUUUGUCGUCCGUGUGUCUCUGGAUUACCGGAUACAACGUCAAAGCUAAUUAGCAUAAAGUAAACGUAAAACUAGUGUGCGCAUGAUCCCUGUAAUUGCGUGCGAGGGAAAUAUAACUGUCUCCUGUACAUAAGUUGCACGUACUAAAGAAUCAUGUGGAGGACAUAAAAAGUAGGUAGAAAAAUAAUGUGAGAACAGUACUGAGAAAUGAAUAUAUUCACCUUAAACAGGUGAGUUUAUUGAGUGUCAACGUAAGAUGACCGCCAGUGCCUUUCUUUCUCCCUAUUGCGAGUAUACGGCAUUGUCAGCAACGCCGCCCGAAUGAGACCGAGUCUUCUUGUAGCUUUGACAUGCCAGAACCAGCUAGAUCCAUUUGUCCUGAGUACUUUGAAGGGUACUGCUACAAAUAUAGCGCCACUUUUCACGCUGCUGCUCAUCACACUCAAACAUGUGCUCGCACUGUCGCCGAAGGUGUAUAAUUGAAUUCUUGCGGCGUGUUGGCGCCCCGCGGCCAACAUGCGCUCACCGCACUGACGGUGUCAAGUGGACCCACCAUCUUCAACACUUCCAUUGGUUUUCUCCAAUGACAACGCUGAUUAGAAUGAGGAUCUGGAAAAAGGAGUGAGGAGGCGAGUGGGGGGGAGGGUGCCUCCCUGCAGCGUCCGACUGGUCUGACAUCCUUUCUCCACCGUCUGAUGAAAUGUAAUUCAAGUGGAGUGCCGAGAUGUUGAUGAGGGUUUGUGCCGCUGGAGGUCAGCAUGUAAAUGAAGUCAGUUUGUUUAUGGAGGGCACGCCGGUGGGCUGCAUUGAUGGAUGGCGACGAGCUGCUGGUGGAAGAGGAGGGGCAACAACAAACACUCUUACUAGUUUUGUACAGAUGUUAGCGUGCAACGAUACUUCUGGGUGAAUUCCGACACUCGUUAAUGACUAAUGAUGACUUGGCGCGCAAAGAUGACAGACUAGUAUUGAGAAUAGUUUCAAGUGGAAGUGUUCUACUCCUCAACUCCUCAUGUCAACAAAGCAACUUGCAUUGCCAUCAAAAUGCCACUCAUUGUCUCCAAACUUCAUAUUCCUUAUCCGAGGUUGUCGGCGCAGCUUAUUAAAACAAAGCACGGUGGAUAUAAAAAGAUGGAUAAAGAUAGAUCAGUCCUAAACUUUAUCAGUGAAUGCGACCUAUGACCUGUACAUGUCACCUAAUUCGUUUUCAAGCUGUGAUGCCAAAACAAACUGUAAUCUUACUUAACCAUGUGUCCAUCACGAUCAGACUCAAGUCACAGAGCAAUUUAAAGUUCUGGAAUAACCUCUAAUAAAUUAUACAUACACCAGUUACUACUUUUCGGUCAGCCCGAGAUUUGGCGCCACCUUGUGGCAUCUUUGAGCAUCACAGAAAGAAACCAAUCCAUACAUCCAUUUUCUGAACCGCUUAGUCCCCACAGGGGUCGCGGGAGGGCUGGAGCCUAUCCCAGCCGUCUGAACCGGUUGCCAGCCAACCGCAGGGCACACAGAGACAAAUAACUAUUUGCACUCGCACCUAGGGACAAGCUGGAGUCUUCAAUCAGCCUACCAAGCAUGUUUUUGGGAAGUGGGAGGAAACCGGCGUGCCCGGAGAAACCCCAUGCGGGCCCGGGGAGAAUAUGCAAACUCCACACAGGGAGGGCCGGAGGUGGAAUCGAACCCGCACCCUCCAAACUGUGAGGUGGACGUGCUACCCAGUGCGCCACUGAGCUGCCCAGAAAGAAAUCAAUUUCAGGAAAUGGGCUUGUGUGUGGCUGUGUGUAAUUACUCUCUGACCUGUCGCCGGCGGCGGCGUCAUCGUCGCUCUCAUGCGGGCCUCGCAUCCACGCACCGGCCUCCUUUAAAUGCAGCCCAGGGCUGCAUAGGCAGGCAAGAAAAAGCACCUUCAAGACGCCAAAUCUACACCCCCCUUCCCCACACACGCACUUGAACGUAGCCUCCCUGCUAAAUCCUCAUCUCCAUAUUCAUAGACAGAGCGGCCGCUUUAAGACUAUCUGAAAGGAGGCCUGCAGCGUCAUCGUAUUUGUGGAAAAAGUCAUUUCCUGUGGCCGUCAAGCAUGGAGGUGCGCACCCAUGCUCGGAUGGCGGGUUCCUCCGACUAGUACGCUUACAUGCUCUUGUAGACACACUUGAAACGAGGGCUAGGGGGAAAAAAAACAAGUUUGCGCCCCUCGCACCACGCUGCGGCAUCUACUCGAACAUUUCCGACAGAUUAUAAUGCAGUGGCAUUAACGUGCCCUUCAGUUGAUUAGCACCCUAUACUGGCGGAAAAGUGACACUGCAGUCAAGCGAUGAAAGAAGUCAUCUUACGGCAGCGACCAUUUUUCCACCAGAUGGAAUCCAAAUGUGGGAGCGGGAGUGUCAGGCCGAACCCAACCCAAAUGAGUUAGAAAAUGUUCGGCACGAGAAACCAUUCCGGAUGCAAUUUUGAUCCAGAUUUGGAAUCGUUUUUGUAGAAAUCUGUCCAAUUACUCUUUUAUUUAACGGAAAAAUUGUAAGAAUAGUCGAUUCUCAAAAGAAUGCAUCUUGGAAAUAUAGCUAUUGAAAACGACAAGUCGAAAGUGGCGGGGGAAAAAAAACAGAAGCGGGAUGACCUUGAGCGAGUGAAAGAGUGGGUGGAAUUAUCUCGACAUGAAACCUUACAUGGCUGGCAGAGUCGUUCCCCCCUAAAAGAUGACAGACGGCUUAUUUGUGUGGGCUGAAUGUGCUUUUGUGUUGCCAACUGCACAAGUGAAACAAACACGCCAGCAUUUGUUGGAUGACUGUAUGUGCGGCGCGUCUGUCAUCGCAUUUGCGACUUACAAGCGACAUCAAACGGCUAAACAAAGAGCUGUCAAACAUGCAAGUCAACUGAAAAUAAUCCUGACUAUUUUCAAUAAUGCAUGGACCGUAAAUAACACUUGGUUCAUGCUAAAAAUAAUUGUGAAAAAAAACCCCAGAGCUUCUGCGCAGCUAAUGAAGAAGCAAGCAAGUGCAGGAGUUCAUCUUGCCGCCCAUUUCCAUUCUGCUUCCUUUAUAAAUGCAUCUAGAUGUCACCGAAUCGAUUACAAUCGAUUCUCAAAAACGAUCCGUUUGUUUGGUAAUCGAUUUGAACGUUGAGUGCGCGGCGCACUUUUCUUCACAUCACGUUCACCUUUUGAGCGUUUGUAAAAAUACUCCAACAGUCAACAGGCCUGGCGGGAUAUGUUGUUGUCUUCAGGGGUGCAUUUUUUAUUUAUUUUUAUAAAGUGGGGGGCCCUAAAGGAUUGAACAUGUUUGACGAAGAGUCGUUUGCCAUGCUGAGGUAACAUUUGGCUUGGUCCCAGCUGUGUUUGACGGACGCACCCCGCUGGGGUUCCAACAACUCGUCUCUUCUCGGAGGCCUUCCAAACAUAAAUGUUGCUGUCAACACAAAGCCCACGCUGGCACGUUUCUCCCAAUUUCCUCCCUUUUGCCUCAUCUUCCCUUUUUCAUUGUCCUUGGCGGAGUGAUUUACAGGUAGCGGCCAUCGCUCUCCUGCUACUUUCUUGCCAUUUUUUUCAUUUUUCACCUUCUUACUUGUAUGUUACUCGUGUACUGUGUCUCGUCACCGUGGGAUGGAGGAAACGUAAUUUCGAUUUCUUUGUGUGUCUUGGCAUGAAGGAAUUGACAAUAAAGCUGACUCCGACUCUGUUGAUCUCUCCGGAAUGCUUCCACUUUUCGUGAGCCCCCACCCCCUCCCGCACACCUGCUCUCUCUCCUCCUCGGCCCCUUUCCCCCCCCUCGCCGUAUCACCGCAGACUCAUGUAGUCAAUUACCCGUUCUGUUAAUGAGCAGAUAAAUCUAAUUGCUCUCUCCUCCAGUGCCUGUCGGCAUCUCUCUGACUCUCUCGCCACCUUUCCGAAAGCCCAACGGAUAAGUCCGGCUCGCCUGUCAUUCCUCAAGACAAUCAUCGGUAGCAAAGCUGUGUUCGAAGGGAUCUUAGCGAGGAAAGUGGAAGCGGCGCUUUCGAGUCCUCGAUUCAAGUAAAAGUCGAAAAAGACUCUGUGUCGGUCAGCCUAGGUCUCUCGACGACUCGAUUUAUUUUUCGUUCUUCUGCUGCGCCCCGCAUGGCUCAACUUGCCUCCCUCUCAUAGAGUCUGUUGAUUCCUUUCAAGCAUCUCGACCUCGUCUUUUCUUUGCUCCUCCGCUCCGCGCUUUGCUGCGACCGGUGGUUCAAGGAGCGCGCCAGACCCGCUCGGCAUCAAUAAUCCCCCGCCGCUAUCAACAGACUUGCAUCGUCGCAGCCCAAAUGUAGCCGAGCGGAACCUCAUUAGAGCUUAUCAACAAAAGCACCAGAAGGGGCACGAAGUGGCGGAAUGGCAUACUGCAGCUCGCCGUUUGAUGCACGCGGGCGGUUCAAAGCAAGCUUUCCCUUUUGUCUUUAUCUGCAAAGGACGCACAUUUAAGGAGCUACUCUAAAUGGUCACUGUGAGGCCAAUCAACAAAGACAUCUCACAAAAAAGAACGCAACAUUGCCUGGGAUUUUCUGUCCGUCCGUUUGUCCAAGCGCAGUCCUGAGAUUUGAGCAAUUAAUUGCAAGUACUUUGGCGAAAAAAGUUUUUUUAAGAGGCUUCACACUGUUGAAUGUCACUGUCAGAUGAAGUUUAGCGUCAACAUGAACACAAAGCCACGAGAAUUACACUUUGUGCAUUUGUGUAAACAACCAAAGACGAGCUGAAAGAAAAGCAGAAUGGGAGCAUACAAUGGAAAAUGCUCUUAACGUGCUAAGAAUUAGCAUCUAUGUGUUAGCUGUUAAAAAACAAAUCAUAUGUGAGCGCACAUGCUGGAGCAACAUGUAGACCGAGCAUAUAAAUAUCAAUAAAUGAUCUAUCUAUCUGUGUCUGUCUGUCCGUCUGUCCGCCCACCUGCCCGUCCGUCCAUCCCUCACAGGCAUGCAUUCUUUAUCCCUCUGCAUCGCUUCACUUAAUUUCAAUUUUGCAGUCUUCUACUUCUUUGUUUUGAAUAAAAUUUCAGGUAUUGUGAGAAUUUGUAUGAAAGUGCCAUUUAAACCUCACGUAUUGAAGCAAUCUUUUAUCGCUUGCUGAAUUAAUGUCAACCGGUCAAUGCCAAACUGCAUAUAUGUGGGGACUUGCUGUACUAUUUAAAGCUUUAAAAACCACGACGCGAGGCUUCUGAGGUUCAACAUUGACAAAUCCUUCAAAUGUUUUUAGACAGAAAUUGUAUCUUUAUUUACCAGCACACAAGGAGAAUAUUUCAGUUUGAAAUGGAAAUUUGACAAGGUUAGAGUAAUGGAUUCUGUCUUUGUGCCUCCCCCGCCCGCCUCUGCCAGCGUCGUCAUAACAGUGUGAAAAGAGGCGUGUGAGAUGUUGACAGAAGCAUCCCGCGGCCGUAAUUGGUGUGCGUUGGACGGCGGGGCGACUGUAAUAACGCACAUUACAGUGCGGCGGCAAAUAGCCUCGGAUGAGCCGGCGGGGUCACGGGGAAUUCUCGCUUAGCACGGCGCUGGAAACAAAAACCCGCAUGGCCGGCAUGUUAAUGUUAAGUCUGCCCGCGCAUGCCACCAAAACGUGAUGAGCAAACACUCUUUCAGUUGAAUCAGUCCAAGUUAGCCUGCCGGAUUUAUCUGCCGGUGCGUUAUUGGUAAACUCUACAUCAAACCUGCCGUCCUCGCGUGGCCACAAAGUGGCAACGCUUCGUCUAGCUCCAAAGCGACAAACAAUCAAGCGGAGUAAUUGGCGAACGAGCAAGCGAAGCGCACGUGUGACGGCCCCGUCUGAUCUUCCCUUUUGCCAGAGGCGUAGCCAGGAAUUCUUCCAGUAGGGGCGCGCGCCCACAGGAAAAAAAAUCGAACAUCACCCACGCCGUUCGCUGAUCGCUAAAACAACAUCCGGGUCCGGGAGGCAAACGGUGAAUGGAUAACAUCGCGCACAUAGAAUAGCGCAAGCACAUUCGCGCAAGACCGAAAGAAAAAAAUGGCAUGAAAAUGAAGAAUCGAAAAAGUUCGAUUUUUUUUCAACCGGGGCGCAGGGAGUCCUAACCGGGGCGCCGCCCCGGCUCGCCCCGGCUUGGCUACGCCUCUGCCUUUUGCAAUCGCCCUCGUCGUACACGCUACGUCUUCCGCUCGUGUCUUCGCAAUGACUCAUUUGCAUGCACCGACGUCUCUUGCACGACAAGCCGAGUCAUGCGAAGCGAGCCCCUCGCUAUCGUAUGUGAAAUGAUAAUAAAUCGCUAUUAAAAAAAAAAAAUACAGUCAGCUUUGAAACGGCGCUCCACACGUGGACGCGGUCAUUCACGGACGGCGCUGGCAAUUAAGCGAACAAAACAAGAUUAGAGGAAGCCUGGUUUAAUUUGCAUAUUUUUGUGCGCAAAGCGCUCGACAACUGAUUUGCAGAUAAAUGAAGAUAAAGAAGACAUGGUGCGCAUAUCACGUACAAAUUCAACCACAACGCGUCUCGACGACAUCUUUGAUCAAACUAUCCCAUGGAUCAAGAAUUUAUGGAGUUCAAACCAGACUCGGUGAAGCAGCAUUUGGCUAUGAUGGUGCACGCCAAUGGAAAAAGUUGCCAAUGCAAGUGAAGUCUAGAUGCUUUUUUCCCUCUGUAGCUAAAAAAUUUAUUCUUCCAAAAUCAUGUCCUUGCACUGCACAUUCUGUUACACAUUUUUAGCAAGCUGUGCGAAGCAUAUUGUGUUAGCUUGAGUAUGAAAUGCACUCUAGAAACAUCUUGCCUUUAACCAAAAAUGUAAAUUAUCCACGUUAUUGGGAAAAAAAAAAAAACUUCCUUCGCCUUUGCUCAUGGCAUAUUUUCCCCAGCCUUU